CCAUAAACACAAGAUGUGCCAGCAACUCCUGAAAUGACAAAAUAUAAAAGGAUUGCAGAAUUAUGGUUCUGUCCUCCAGAACUGAAAAACACAUUUUGGAGACAAAUAGAGAAAUCUCAGCUUUAAAAAAUGAGCCCUUAUGUUGUGCUGGCAACCUUAUUAAUGAAGAAAUUAUAUUUAUUGUUUGCUGUCUAACUGACAAUAACACCCCAUAUCAAGAAAAAAAUAAUGCCAGCUGAGUCCAGCACAUUUGGAGACAGCUAAAAGAGUAUGAUACUUCCUAACUUUUUCAUUUACUGUAGGGCUAGACUUAAGUAUUUACACAACAACUGAGUCCCAGUUUCUUCCAUGGCAGCCUCAAAAUUCACUGAUCCUAUUCUCUGCAUGCUUCCGUGGUACAGACAAUAACCAGGAUUAUAUGGAUGUCUAAUGAUUGGUAAGAUUUGGUGUAGUUUGGGGAUCUGCUCAGAGAAACUGGACCAUCAGUUUCCCAAUGCACUAGUGAGGCAGGUUAAUUAAUUCCUAUCAAAAUCAGCAAAUUGAAAAAGAAAGUGGAAUGGUGAUUUGCAGAUUUCUUUUUAGCAAGCCACAAGUACAUCUAUAUAGUCCUUCCUGUGAAUCUUUUCCACCAUAGCUGGAAAACGCAGACACACACAAGGAUCAUAAGACUGCUUCAUGUCAGCUUAGAGAAAGAAACAGAGGUAAAGUUCACAGGCCCCAAAGAGUAAGGGGAAAAAAGCCCACAGGCUCAUUCUUUGCCCUUCAGGGAGCAGAAAUAACACGGAGUGAGGAAGAUUGACUGAAAGAUUAGGGUUUUAUAAACUUUAUUACUAGUGUUGAAAAGAGUUACCAACAAAGAACUUUCAGUAUAAAUUUUAGAUGGUGAGAAUAUCAGCAGUAUGCAGGGCCAGAUGAAACAAAUCAUCCAUCAAACUGUAAAAAACCUAUCUCCCCAUCCUUUACCCUUUUGGCAGUGUUAUCUUCCUUUCCCAGUUUAUUCUGCCCUUGCAGACUCUCUACUCAGCUGUAGAAAUUUUCUCUUCCCCUGGAAAAAGACAGCAUUGAUCUAGCAGGCAGGCAUCAGGGUCCAGGAUGACCCUACUAUAACUGUACGUGCAUCUCCUGUGCAUGGCAGAGGAGACUUUAACCUGGUAAGUGCUAGCUGCAUUCUCUACACCUCUUCAUACUUUCAGGCAAAGGUGAACAGAUCCAUCUUUUUCCUUCAUAAUUCAGAUCUGAAGCUGAUGGAGCAAGCAAGAAAGUGAGCACAGAGGGCAAGACAUGAACUCCACAUUGGUGACAUCUAGAAGAACCACAGCAUCUUUAAGAUAAGAGAGAAGAUGCCCCUGAACUUUGAAGUCUGGUGAAAUACAUGCACCAGGCCGCACACAAUACAGAGAGACAUUUGUGUCAUCUGUUUUGGGCUCUGGGACAAGAUAGCCAGGCUGUAGUCUGAAAGAGCAGAUGUAACUAAUCACCAACACACCUGUAAGCAGUGUUUCCUAGAAGAGCUAUCACAUAUUUCUUCUGUAAUAAAGGAGUCAGGCUGACUGACGAUAUGCAUAUGGAUGUCCUCUCCAAUAUAAAUACUGCAAGAAAGGUGAGUAUGGAGUGCUAUGCUAAGAGAAGGAAAAUGAAACAUGGAAGUAUUAGUUGGGGAAUAUCUGGCAGAGAAACAGCAUGGCAGAAAAUUAGGUGCUAUAGAAAUUUACAGGUGAAACGUGUCAGCAAUGGGAUGCCAAAACCAGGAAAUGGUAUUCUGGGGUAUAUUAACAAAAAUGUCAUAUAGAACACAUAGGAGAUAAUUACCGUGCUCCACUCCUCCUUACAGGGACUUCUAC